UUUCAUUCCCCCAAAACUUCGUAUUUUUUCCCUCUUUCUCUAAAACUUUUGAACCUUAGCUAAUAACUGUGAGACUCAGCAGCUCAUUCACCUUGCCGACCUCAUCGUUCUCCAAGCUGACCUGCCUUGAGUUCCUGACAUCCUUCUCCAACCUGACGUGCUCCAAGUCCCCGACUUCAUUCUCCGACCUAAGUCGACUAGAGCCGCCUCUGAUCUGACCCAGAGUCCCCGACCUCGCUCUCUGACCCAACCUCCCUCUCCAGACCCCGAGCUUGAGAUCCAAUCUGAACUCGAGCUUAUUUGCCGACCUGAGCUUGUCAUUCUCCUAUUUGAGCCGGCUCUACGUCUAGUCGCGUGGGUCCUCUUUCUCUCUUCUCUAGCUUGGUGAUUUCCUGUCCGGUUUUGAUCUAAAGUUCAAUCUUUUUUGUUUAAUAAGUUGUAAUAGAAAGAAGAAAACAAACUCGAGCUGAAAAUGCAGUCGAUCUGAUUCGACUCGGCGGAGAAGGCGGCGACUCGUAUCAAGGGUUCAACUCGUAGUUAGAUGUGAGAUAUAUUCUGGGUUAAGAGAUUCUGGGAAACAUUUCAGUACAAGAUCUACCAGUAAUAUUACCAGGAUGAGUUUUGAAUUUUGAUUCCGUCAAGAGGAAUGAUGCCACUGGGCACCAUGCUACUGUGACUACUGGAGGGAUGGUGUAUUUAAAUCUGAAGGAUGACGAUCAGAUGUUGAUCUUCUUCUAAUAAACAUAGCUACAAAUUCCUUGAAAGGGGGACUUGCUAGUGAGGUUUGGGGUGAUAUACAGCUUGCAGCACUGCGUGCACUUUUGGCAUCUUUCUUGUCUUCAUCUCGUGUCCGCCCCCCUUACUUAGCUCAGGGUGUUGAUCUUUUCUGUAGAG